rnacentral:rRNA from 1 species
UUUAUGGAGAGUUUGAUCCUGGCUCAGAGUGAACGCUGGCGGCGUGCCUAAUACAUGCAAGUCGAACGAUGAAGCUUCUAGCUUGCUAGAGUGCUGAUUAGUGGCGCACGGGUGAGUAACGCAUAGGUCAUGUGCCUCUUAGUUUGGGAUAGCCAUUGGAAACGAUGAUUAAUACCAGAUACUCCCUACGGGGGAAAGAUUUAUCGCUAAGAGAUCAGCCUAUGUCCUAUCAGCUUGUUGGUAAGGUAAUGGCUUACCAAGGCUAUGACGGGUAUCCGGCCUGAGAGGGUGAACGGACACACUGGAACUGAGACACGGUCCAGACUCCUACGGGAGGCAGCAGUAGGGAAUAUUGCUCAAUGGGGGAAACCCUGAAGCAGCAACGCCGCGUGGAGGAUGAAGGUUUUAGGAUUGUAAACUCCUUUUGUUAGAGAAGAUAAUGACGGUAUCUAACGAAUAAGCACCGGCUAACUCCGUGCCAGCAGCCGCGGUAAUACGGAGGGUGCAAGCGUUACUCGGAAUCACUGGGCGUAAAGAGCGCGUAGGCGGGAUAGUCAGUCAGGUGUGAAAUCCUAUGGCUUAACCAUAGAACUGCAUUUGAAACUACUAUUCUAGAGUGUGGGAGAGGUAGGUGGAAUUCUUGGUGUAGGGGUAAAAUCCGUAGAGAUCAAGAGGAAUACUCAUUGCGAAGGCGACCUGCUGGAACAUUACUGACGCUGAUUGCGCGAAAGCGUGGGGAGCAAACAGGAUUAGAUACCCUGGUAGUCCACGCCCUAAACGAUGGAUGCUAGUUGUUGGAGGGCUUAGUCUCUCCAGUAAUGCAGCUAACGCAUUAAGCAUCCCGCCUGGGGAGUACGGUCGCAAGAUUAAAACUCAAAGGAAUAGACGGGGACCCGCACAAGCGGUGGAGCAUGUGGUUUAAUUCGAAGAUACACGAAGAACCUUACCUAGGCUUGACAUUGAGAGAAUCCGCUAGAAAUAGUGGAGUGUCUAGCUUGCUAGACCUUGAAAACAGGUGCUGCACGGCUGUCGUCAGCUCGUGUCGUGAGAUGUUGGGUUAAGUCCCGCAACGAGCGCAACCCCCUUUCUUAGUUGCUAACAGGUCAUGCUGAGAACUCUAAGGAUACUGUCUCCGUAAGGAGGAGGAAGGUGGGGACGACGUCAAGUCAUCAUGGCCCUUACGCCUAGGGCUACACACGUGCUACAAUGGGGUGCACAAAGAGAAGCAAUACUGCGAAGUGGAGCCAAUCUUCAAAACGUCUCUCAGUUCGGAUUGUAGGCUGCAACUCGCCUGCAUGAAGCUGGAAUCGCUAGUAAUCGCAAAUCAGCCAUGUUGCGGUGAAUACGUUCCCGGGUCUUGUACUCACCGCCCGUCACACCAUGGGAGUUGUGUUUGCCUUAAGUCAGGAUGCUAAAUUGGCUACUGCCCACGGCACACACAGCGACUGGGGUGAAGUCGUAACAAGGUAACCGUAGGUGAACCUGCGGUUGGAUCACCUCCUUUCUAGA